rfam:Beta vulgaris subsp. vulgaris chromosome 8, whole genome shotgun sequence.
CCGACCUUAGCUCAGUUGGUAGAGCGGAGGACUGUAGUUUGUAAAACAGAGAAUUUUUAGGUCGCUGGUUCGAAUCCGGCAGGUCGGA